ACUCCUACGGGANGCAGCAGUGGGGAAUAUUGCACAAUGGGCGCAAGCCUGAUGCAGCAACGCCGUGUGAGUGACGAAGGUCUUAGGAUCGUAAGGCUCUUUCGCCUGUGAAGAUAAUGACGGUAGCAGGUAAAGAAACCCCGGCUAACUCCGUGCCAGCAGCCGCGGUAAU
rnacentral:rRNA from 1 species